UACGUAGGGUGCGAGCGUUAAUCGGAAUUACUGGGCGUAAAGCGUGCGCAGGCGGUUCUGAAAGUCAGCUGUGAAAGCCCCGGGCUUAACCUGGGAACUGCGGUUGAAACUACAGGACUAGAAUCUGGCAGAGGGGGGUGGAAUUCCACGUGUAGCAGUGAAGUGCGUAGAGAUGUGGAGGAACACCGAUGGCGAAGGCAGCCCCCUGGGCUGAGAUUGACGCUCAGGCACGAAAGCGUGGGGAGCAAACAGG
rnacentral:rRNA from 1 species